CUUGGAGAAGUGGCAAGUCUUCCAGUAUGGGGAGCAAAACAGCUAUGGGUCAAGUCCGAUAUCUUUAGGAGAAGUCUUAUUGUGAGGGCGAGUUAUAUAACACCAUAGGACUGGCCGUCCCAUAUGAAAAGAUUAUAUUAGAAUUGAAUGAAGCUUUGUUUAUAUAUUGAUAAUGACAGUAUAUAUAUCGUGUCUUGACUAAUUGCGUGCCAGCAGUCGCGGUAAUACGUAAGAGACUAGUGUUAUUCAUCUUAAUUAGGUUUAAAGGGUACCCAGACGGUCAAUAUAGCUUAUAAAAUGUUAGUACUUGACUAGAGUUUUAUGUAAGAGGGCAGUACUUGAGGAGGAGAGAUGAAAUUUCGUGAUACCAAAGGGACUCUGUAAAGGCGAAGGCAGCCCUCUAUGUAAAAACUGACGUUGAAGGACGAAGGCACAGAGAACAAACAGGAUUAGAUACCCAAGUAGUCUUUGCAGUAAAUGAUGAAUGCCAUAGGUUAGAUUGGUCAAUUAUAGUCUAGGGUUAGUCUAGCAAACUAAUACCCUAUGCUAUAAUCCUAAUAUCUGGUCUAUAAAUGAAAGUGUAAGCAUUUCACCUCAAGAGUAAUGUGGCAACGCAGGAACUGAAAUCACUAGACCGUU
rnacentral:rRNA from 1 species